rnacentral:rRNA from 1 species
AUUGAACGCUGGCGGCAUGCUUUACACAUGCAAGUCGAACGGUAACAGGCCUUCGGGUGCUGACGAGUGGCGAACGGGUGAGUAAUGCAUCGGAACGUGCCCAGAGGUGGGGGAUAACGCAGCGAAAGCUGUGCUAAUACCGCAUGUGAUCUGAGGAUGAAAGCGGGGGACCAAGCAGCAAUGUUUGGCCUCGCGCCUCUGGAGCGGCCGAUGUCAGAUUAGGUAGUUGGUGGGGUAAAGGCCUACCAAGCCGACGAUCUGUAGCUGGUCUGAGAGGACGACCAGCCACACUGGGACUGAGACACGGCCCAGACUCCUACGGGAGGCAGCAGUGGGAAUUUUGGACAAUGGGCGCAAGCCUGAUCCAGCAAUGCCGCGUGCGGGAAGAAGGCCUUCGGGUUGUAAACCGCUUUUGUACGGAACGAAAAGGCUCUGGCUAAUACCUGGGGCUGAUGACGGUACCGUAAGAAUAAGCACCGGCUAACUACGUG